rnacentral:rRNA from 1 species
AUUGAACGCUGGCGGCAGGCCUAACACAUGCAAGUCGAGCGAGCGGCGGACGGGUGAGUAAUGUCUGGGAAACUGCCCGAUAGAGGGGGAUAACUACUGGAAACGGUGGCUAAUACCGCAUACUAUCGGAUGAACCCAGAUGGGAUUAGCUAGUAGGUGGGGUAACGGCUUACCUAGGCGACGAUCCCUAGCUGGUCUGAGAGGAUGACCAGCCACACUGGGACUGAGACACGGCCCAGACUCCUACGGGAGGCAGCAGUGGGGAAUAUUGCACAAUGGGCGCAAGCCUGAUGCAGCCAUGCCGCGUGUAUGAAGAAGGCCUUCGGGUUGUAAAGUACUUUCAGCGGGGAGGCGUUACUCGCAGAAGAAGCACCGGCUAACUCCGUGCCAGCAGCCGCGGUAAUAC